GUGCUCACUUGGCAGUAUAUGUACUAAGAUUAGACUGAUAUAGAAAAGUUAGCAUCGUUCCCACACAAGGUUGACAUGUAAAUUUGUGAAGCGCUCCAUAGUUUU